UGCCAGCCGCCGCGGUAACACGGGGGGCGCAAGCGUUAUUCGGAAUUAUUGGGCGUAAAGCGCGUGUAGGCGGUUCGUUAAGUCUGAUGUGAAAGCCCGGGGCUCAACCCCGGAAGUGCAUUGGAAACUGGCGAACUUGAGUACGGGAGAGGAAAGUGGAAUUCCGAGUGUAGGGGUGAAAUCCGUAGAUAUUCGGAGGAACACCAGUGGCGAAGGCGGCUUGCUGGACUGUAACUGACGCUGAGGCUCGAAAGCGUGGGGAGCGAACAGGAUUAGAUA
rnacentral:rRNA from 1 species